rnacentral:lncRNA from 1 species
GACUUAAUGGACGUUGCUUUCCUCUCAGACGUGGCUUGGCGCUCCUUGCUGAAGGUCCUGUUUGUCCACCACAAGGGGCCUCCCCUGGACCUCCUGAAUCCUCUGUCAUCAGUUUCGGCUGCCUGAAGCCCCGACCAGACUUCACCCACUCUGCUGCCCACAACCUAGCCGAACGGUCUGAAGAGAGAAGAAGACUCCAGAAAGAAGGCUCCCGUGGCUCUGAGUCUUCCUGCCCAGUCCUGUGGGAGAAGCUCAGCCUGCAGGAAGGCGUGGGGAAUCCCAGCUGGGAGCAUCAGCCCUCACGGACCAGGAGUUGACCAGUAGCUGACCCGUUUCCGGACCCUAUACACUUGGUGGAGAGACGAGAAGGUCCAUUGGGAAGAUUUCUUUGAGGAUCAUUCCUGAGCCAGCAAAGACUUCUUGAUGUGGUCUGAUCAGUCCUCAUUAUGCGCGAUAGCAACAAAGCGCCCCUGGUCAUCCCUUGCCACCCCCACUUCCCACAUCCACCACUGAUUGCGCUGGCUCAGCCCCGUGCAGUGGGACUGCCCACAUCGAUCGAGAUAGCCCAUCCAUUUCCCCCUCUUCCUCUUUGGCACAAUGCAGACUCAGGCCUCAGAACCAUCAUAAUCACUUCCACUUAUGGUUGUUAACCAUGUUCCAGAGGAGAUGGGGACUGUCAUUACGCCCAUUUUACAAAUGAGCAAACAGAGGCUGUAGACGUUAUAUGACUUAGCCCAACUCACAGGAGGCGGCAGAGUUAGCGUUUGAACCAGGCUUGGCCGGCACCAUGUCCUACAUUCUCAGCUGCUCUGCCUUCCCACCUCUAGAGCCUCUGGAUGCUGAAGGCCUGGUUGAAUCUGCACGCAAGCCACUCAGCACCAAGGUGCAGGAUGCGGGUGGUGGACGGUACCCAGGCAGAGGUGCAGCCUGGGGAAAGCGUGACCCACAGGAAGUUCAAGGGUUACACAUCCCAGAGAACCAGAGAGGCCCUCGUCCCCAGACAUGGCUGCCUUUGCUCCUGACUUAGACCCAGUCAAGACAAGUCCCUCCACUGGGACCCACUCCCGAAGUGUUGGAGCUCAGCCUUCCAGUUGCUUCUCCAGUGGACCCAGAAGAAUUCUCUCCAAGGCCCUCCAGGGCCUGAAGAUGUGUCCUGUGAACCAGACCACUUGGAGGACCUCCC